UAUCUCUGUAGAGUCUGCAUAUCAAUAAGCGGAGGAAAAGAAACUAACAAGGAUUCCCCUAGUAACGGCGAGUGAAGCGGGAAGAGCUCAAAUUUGAAAUCUUCAAGGUUCUGACCUUGACGAAUUGUAGUUUAAAGAAGUGUUUUCGGUUAGAGGAGUAGUAAAAGUUCUUUGGAAUAGGACAUCAUAGAGGGUGAGAAUCCCGUAUUUGACUAUUCUUUCUAGCUUUGUGAUACACUUUCAAAGAGUCGGAUUGUUUGGGAAUGCAGUCCAAAAUGGGUGGUAAAUUUCAUCUAAAGCUAAAUAUUGGCGAGAGACCGAUAGCGAACAAGUACCGUGAGGGAAAGAUGAAAAGAACUUUGAAAAGAGAGUUAAACAGUACGUGAAAUUGUCAAAAGGGAAGCGUUUGACACCAGUGUUGUUUUUUCCGAAAAUCAAUUAAAAAUUGAUUCAUGCCAGGUUGUAUUGACCUUAUCAGCUUGCAAUUUGGUUUUGGGUCUCUUUUUGAUGCACUUUUCGGUUAACAAGUCAACAUCAAUUUCCUUUGCUGUAAAAAGGUAAGAGGAAGGUGGCUUCAAUUUCGGUUGAAGUGUUUAUAGCCUUUUAUCUCUGCAGUCGGGGAGAUUGAGGUCUGCAGCGUAGAUCCUUCGGGGCUAGAUACAUUUAUGCUAAGUUAUAGCUUUUCAUAGACAACUUGUUGACUAUGUUUAGUCAUGUAGCUUACUCGUAAGUGCUAUUUUACCUACGCUUAGGAUGUUGA
rnacentral:rRNA from 1 species